GUUGAGACAGGAGCCUAUCAGACAACACAGCAGAGGAGAAUCAGACAGAAAGAGACUGGAAAUGACAGACAAGGACACACGAAAAUUAUAGCUACAAAGAGGUAUAGCCUACCAUUUCUGACUUAUGCUAAGUGUUCUGACAACAAAAGGCAACCUUGAGAAAAACAGUAAUUUAUGGUUCUACAUGUCUACCACAACUGGGGCCAUCAGCCUUUCCACAUAUAACAAAACCGGGUGAAAUCAUACAAAAGGAAUAUGGAGGAACAUGGUGUAGAAGUGGCAUGAUUGGACUAAAAGGACAAUCUACUUUAAUUUUAUGAAAAAUUGUCAUGACAGCAUCAUUGAGAG